rnacentral:rRNA from 1 species
UUUAAAUUGAGAGUUUGAUCCUGGCUCAGGACGAACGCUGGCGGCGUGCUUAACACAUGCAAGUCGAGCGAUGAAGCUUCCUUCGGGAAGUGGAUUAGCGGCGGACGGGUGAGUAACACGUGGGCAACCUGCCUCAAAGAGGGGAAUAGCCCUCCGAAAGGAGGAUUAAUACCGCAUAAAGUUAGAGUUUCGCAUGAAACUUUAACCAAAGGAGUAAUCUGCUUUGAGAUGGGCCCGCGUCCCAUUAGCUAGUUGGUAAGGUAAUGGCUUACCAAGGCAACGAUGGGUAGCCGAC